UACGUAGGUGGCAAGCGUUGUCCGGAGUUAUUGGGCGUAAAGCGCGCGCAGGCGGUCCGGUAAGUCUCCGGUGAAAUCGCCCGGCUCAACUGGGCGGGUGCCGGGGAGACUGGCGGACUUGAGGAGCCUAGAGGCCGGUGGAACUCCCGGUGUAGUGGUGAAAUGCGUAGAGAUCGGGAAGAACACCAGUGGCGAAGGCGGCCGGCUGGGGGUGUCCUGACGCUGAGGCGCGAGAGCGUGGGGAGCAAACCGG
rnacentral:rRNA from 1 species